rnacentral:rRNA from 1 species
AAAUUGAAGAGUUUGAUCAUGGCUCAGAUUGAACGCUGGCGGCAGGCCUAACACAUGCAAGUCGAACGGUAACAGAAAGCAGCUUGCUGCUUUGCUGACGAGUGGCGGACGGGUGAGUAAUAUCUGGGAAACUGCCUGAUGGAGGGGGAUAACUACUGGAAACGGUAGCUAAUACCGCAUAACGUCGCAAGACCAAAGAGGGGGACCUUCGGGCCUCUUGCCAUCGGAUGUGCCCAGAUGGGAUUAGCUAGUAGGUGGGGUAA